UACGGAGGGUGCAAGCGUUAUCCGGAUUUACUGGGUUUAAAGGGUGCGUAGGUGGGUAAGUAAGUCAGUGGUGAAAUCUUCGAGCUUAACUCGGAAACUGCCAUUGAUACUAUUUAUCUUGAAUACUUUGGAGGUAAGCGGAAUAUGUCAUGUAGCGGUGAAAUGCUUAGAUAUGACAUAGAACACCAAUUGCGAAGGCAGCUUACUACACAGUUAUUGACACUAAGGCACGAAAGCGUGGGGAUCAAACAGG
rnacentral:rRNA from 1 species